CUGCUGUCGAAACCCUAAGCAUCUUCAUUCAACCCUUUUCUGGCGAACCCCUCUCCAUAAAUUAUUAAGUGGAGAGGAGGUGGAGGAAGGUGAUGAGUUUGUUCACCGGAACACGCACCAGUGACGGGGACUCACCGAACCUUGUUUGCUAGCUUGACUGCAUCUAGGGCAUGGUCGACGCUCUCUCUUUUGUCUGGUGGAAGUGUCAUCAGGUUCAUGUCUCCCUUCACCUCUUUCCUCUGCUUACUCAUUAGGGUUUCAUCUUACCUGCUUCCUCAUGGAGAUGUUGUGGUUGAGAUCUCCGAACAUGAACUCAUCAUCAUUGUGGAGGAGUUUGGGUGCCUUCUGACCAGGGUGUACUUAAAACAUGAGUUGUUUCCUGCAUACUAGUAUGCAACGAAAGGAUAACCAAGGUUUGACGUGAUCUUAGGGCUCUUUGUCAAUUGCCUCAACAUCUUUUCCACUCUUGGACAUUCCCCUGCCAUCGAAAUCAGUUACCAUGGUCUGGACAUGCAACUAUUUUUAAAAUAAGCUUCUUCUUUCUGUUGAUUGUGUCUGUAAAGCUAAACUCCAUUGCUGCAGAGGUUAGAUUAUGAAGAUGACAUACAAGAUUCAUUAUCAGAUAAGCAAAUAUUGACACCAGAUAUCAAAGAAAAGGCAAAGGUGAUAGCCAAGGAAUGGAAGCUAAAAUUGGAUCACCUGGACAUUGAAGCCAGCAGUGGAAACUCAUUGGAAGAAGCACAUGCAUUUCUUCAGCUUUUGCCUACUUUUGAUAUUAUCUCAGAAUUUGAGCAAGAUAAAAUCUGCAAACUAAUGCCAGCUGUUACACGACGCCGUCAAACUGUCAACUUGUGUCGUUCACUUGGUUUGUCACAUAAGAUGCUAGGUUUGAUUGAACUUCUUCAGAAUAGUGGGAGGCAAAUUGAGGUUGUUAAUCUUGCAUAUGCAUUUGAGCUUACAGAACAAUUCGCUCCAGUGCCAUUGUUGAAAGAGUAUCUAAAGGAGGCAAGAAGAAUAUCCCAGGUCAAAGCUGGAAGCAUGUCACCUGGAGCACAGGUCUU